CACGUAGGGGGCAAGCGUUGUCCGGAUUUAUUGGGCGUAAAGAGCUCGUAGGCGGCUCAGUAAGUCGGGUGUGAAACCUCCAGGCUCAACCUGGAGACGCCACCCGAUACUGCUGUGGCUUGAGUCCGGUAGGGGAGCGUGGAAUUCCUGGUGUAGCGGUGAAAUGCGCAGAUAUCAGGAGGAACACCGGUGGCGAAGGCGGAUCUCUGGGCCGAUACUGACGCUGAGGAGCGAAAGCGUGGGGAGCGAACAGG
rnacentral:rRNA from 1 species